AUUGAACGCUGGCGGCAGGCCUAACACAUGCAAGUCGAGCGAGCGGCGGACGGGUGAGUAAUGUAUGGGGACUGCCCGAUAGAGGGGGAUAACUACUGGAAACGGUGGCUAAUACCGCAUACUAUCGGAUAACCCAUAUGGGAUUAGCUAGUAGGCGGGGUAAAGGCUCACCUAGGCGACGAUCUCUAGCUGGUCUGAGAGGAUGAUCAGCCGCACUGGGACUGAGACACGGCCCAGCCGCUUACGGUGGCAGCAGUUGGGAAUAGUGGACAAUGGGCGCAAGCCGGAUGCAGCCCUGCCGCGUGUAUGAAGAAGGCCUCAUGGUUGUAAAGUACUUCCAGCGGGGAGGCGUUACCCGCAGAAGAAGCACCGGCUAACUCCGUGCCAGCAGCCGCGGUAAUUC
rnacentral:rRNA from 1 species